AGAAUCAACGCUGGCGGCGUGCCUAACACAUGCAAGUCGCACGAGAAAGGGUAGCAAUACCUGAGUACAGUGGCGCACGGGUGAGUAACACGUGAAUUAUCUACCUCCGAGUGGGGAAUAACUGAGAGAAAUCUUAGCUAAUACCGCAUAACACUUACGAGUCAAAGCAGCAAUGCGCUUGGAGAGGAGUUCGCGGCAGAUUAGUUAGUUGGCGGGGUAAUGGCCCACCGAAGACGAUGAUCUGUA
rnacentral:rRNA from 1 species